rnacentral:rRNA from 1 species
GACGAACGCUGGCGGCGUGCCUAAUACAUGCAAGUAGAACGCUGAAGCGAGGAGCUUGCUCUUCUUGGAUGAGUGGCGAACGGGUGAGUAACGCGUAGGUAACCUGCCUGGUAGCGGGGGAUAACUAUUGGAAACGAUAGCUAAUACCGCAUAAAAUGGAUUAUUGCAUGAUAAUUAAUUGAAAGAUGCAACUGCAUCACUACCAGAUGGACCUGCGUUGUAUUAGCUAGUUGGUGAGGUAACGGCUCACCAAGGCGACGAUACAUGGCCGACCUGGGAGGGUGAUCGGCCCCACUGGGACUGAGACACGGCCCAGACUCCUACGGGGGGCAGCAGUAGGGGAUCUUCGGCAAUGGGGGGAACCCUGACCGAGCAACGCCGCGUGAGUGAAGAAGGUUUUCGGAUCGUAAAGCUCUGUUGUAAGGGAAGAACGGGUGUGAGGGUGGAAAGUUCACACUGUGACGGUAUCUUACCAGAAAGGGACGGCUAACUACGUG